UCGGAUAUGGUGUAACGGCUAACAUUGCCGCCUCUCAUGGGUAUGAUGUUAUCUAUGUCUCAGCGCGGCAGCUCGGGGUUCGAUUCCCCGUAUCCGAA